rnacentral:lncRNA from 1 species
GGGGCCUUCAAAUGUCUAUAACUACGCAGAUAAGCAAUCAAAUUGAAUAUGACUUUAAAGUUGUAACAGCUUACAAUAGAGGUCACCCCUGAGUCCAUAGUUGGCUUCAAAACCUCAUGUAAGUUAAACCUAAACCUGUCUGCGUCAAUAGGGAGGCACAUGUGGUCAAGAUCGGAGAGGACAGAGCUGUGCGUGAAGCAAAUGGCCAAACCAAGAUCAGCAACUCGAUAGAUCUCUUUGCUUUUCAUAGCAAAAAAGUUCCUGAACUAUAAGUGAAUCCUAGUUUGAGGUCAGGGAGGUAGAGUGGAGCACAAUUAGAUGAGACCUUGCAUCACAGUGUCCUGCUGGAAAAGAAACCAGUGAGUGGUUAAUGAGAUUUCUCUAUAAUCCAUGAAACAAAAUUGGGAAAGAAACAUUCAUACCGGAGACUUGCUGGAGAUAUAAGCCGAUUUCAUAGCCAUAUCUUCAUUUGGUUGUCUUAAGGUCGCAGAUCCUCAAUGAAAGCUUUGAUGUAGGGUUAUUUUUUUUUUUUAAUUUUUUUUUUUGAUGUAGGGUUUAUUAGUUUAUAUAAGAACAGAAAGAAGGGGAGGUGAAAAGCUUUGAUGGGGUAAUAUCUCUUAUUAUUAAGAUAGUUUAAAGUACAAAAUUGAAUGAGUGAGAGCAACAGAAACUUGGAUUGCAGAGGUUAUCGUGAAGUUGAAGAGACAGAGACGACUUGGACAAUGCUUGGAAGGAGGUUUGGGCUCUUUUUAAUAUUUUGAGCUCACGUGAAUUGACCGACCCGUUUAAAACCUGUUUCAAGUAACAAAGAUGACGUGGCGAUUUGGAAGCUUCUGAUAGGUUGAUUUUCUUAACCAACGUGGCAUAGCUAGAAUUUGAGGAUAUCUUCCUUUUAUUAUUGUUAGAUUAACUUGUUAUUUCUGAACAAUUAAAUAUUAAAAUAUUUUAUUGGUAUAAUUUAAACUUGGGUCUCUAGUCAAAAAACAAAACUUGUUUCCAAUUUAUGUAAAGAAUAUUAUUUUUUGUGAAUGAGCAAAGAUUUAAGGAUGGUUAUUGGCAAAUAAAUGUUUGAGAACUUUAAUUUUUUUUUUUUUGAGAUUCUACUGCUAUAAUAGUUUAAGGGUUUUUGAAAUAUUACUAAUUAAUUGUUAUUGAUUAGAAGAUUUUCAAAUUUCAUCAAAAUUCUUUAUUUAUUUAUGAUAAUAGUUUUUCAUUCUAUUUUAACAAAAUUUAACGUUAUUAAAAUAUAAUUUAUCUUUUUUAUUCAUAAGAUACAACUUUCAAAAUAUUUUGGCAAUUAAAAUAAUGGAUGUAAGAUUUAAAAUCUACUAUGUAAUUUGUUAUUUGAAUAUCACAACAAAAAAUUACAUAGCGGUAGAGUUUAGGUUUUUUUAGCUUUAAGUUUUGAAAUUAUUUUUUAGUGUUUAGGGUCGAUAGAGUUUUAGCGUUAAAUGGGAUUUAUGGUUAGGUUUAGGUAGGGUUUUAGGGUUAGGUUUAGGCAGGGUUUAGGGUUAGGUAGGAUUUUUAGGGUUAGGCAGGGUUUAGGGUUAGGAAGGGUUUAGGGUUAGAAAGGGUUUAGGGUUAGGUAGGGUUUAGGGUUUAGGGUUAAAAAGGAUUUAGGGUAGGUAGGGUUUAGGGUUAGUAGGGUUUAGGGUUGGUAGGGUUAGGGCUAGGUAGAGUUUAGGGUUAGGUAGGGUUUAGGGUUAGGUAGGGUUUAGGGUUACGUAGGGUUUAGGGUUAGGUAGGGUUUAGGGUUAGAAAGGGUUUAGGGUUAGUAGGGUUUAGGGUUAGGUAGGGUUUAGGGUUAGGUAGGGUUAGGGUUAGGUAGGGUUUAGGGUUAGUAGGGUUUAGGGUUAGGUAGAGUUUAGGGUAGGUAGGGUUUAGGGUUAGGGUUAGGUAGGGUUUAGGGUUAGGUUUUUGGUAGGGUUUUAGGGUUAGGAAGAGUUUAGGGUUAGGUAGAGUUUAGGGUAGGUAGGGUUUAGGGUUAGGUAGGAUUUAGGGUUAGGUUUUAGGUAGGGUUUUAGGGUUAGGAAGGGUUUAGGGUUAGGUAGGGUUUAGGGUUAAAUAGGGUUUUGGGUUAGGUAGGGUUUACGUUUUGGGUUAGGUAGGUUUAGGGUUUAGGUAGUAUGAAGGGUUUAGGGAUUAGGGUUAGGUUUAUGUAGGUUUUAGGGUUAGAUAGGGUUAAGGUCUAGGUUUAGGUAGGAUUUAGGGUUUAGGUAGUAGAAAAGGUUUAGCGUUUGGUUUAGGUUGGGUUUACGGUUUGGUUUAGAAUAAUGCGUAGGAUUAUAGGAUUUAGGGUUUGUUUGUUUUUUUGUUUAUGCAUUUAAUUCUGAGUUUUUCGGAUAAAAUUUUAUAUUAAUAUUAUUGAUUCAUAAUUUUUCUUAAAAUGUUAAAAAUUUUAACGUGAUUUUUAAUGUCCUUAAAACAAAGUUUGUAUUUUUUUAUUAAGUUUUUUGUGACAAUAAGUUGAAUAUAUCUUAGACCACAAAUCAUAAAUAUUCUUAGUCUUAUACAUUUUGUUCUUCAAGUUAUUGUUACUUUUAUUUCUUUUUAUACAUUUUUCUUAAUAUUUAUGUAUGCAUCCAUAAUUUUUUUUUAAAAGGAUUUUUCAUUAACUAACGUAUUUAUUGUAGUUUUAAAUAUAUUACUAGAUUUUGAUCCGCGCUUCGAAAGCGCGGCUUAUUUUUGAUUAAAAACAAAUUUUGAUAUGAAAUAGUGUUUUAUGAUUGUUUAGAUUAUUAUGUUACAAAAGUCGUAUUAUAUCGAAAAAUAGUUUUUUAAGCUAAUAAUUUAUAAAUUAGUUUAUUUGAAGUUUUAUAUAUAUACUCUUGUAUAACU